rnacentral:misc_RNA from 1 species
UCACCCCUCAAGCCCCGUGCUUGGUGUUGGACGGGUUGGUCGGGGCUUCCCUCGACCCCUCCUAAAGACAAUGACGGCGGCCUGUGGUUCCCCCGGUACACUGAGCUUCUUAACCGAGCACGUACCGGACGAGGGCGCCCGGGCCACGGUCCUCUCCUUUCACCAGGAAUCCUUUUUUCAA